rnacentral:rRNA from 1 species
UACGUAGGGUGCAAGCGUUGUCCGGAAUUAUUGGGCGUAAAGAGCUCGUAGGCGGUUUGUCGCGUCUGCUGUGAAAACUCGGGGCUUAACCCCGGGCCUGCAGUGGGUACGGGCAGACUAGAGUGCGGUAGGGGAGACUGGAAUUCCUGGUGUAGCGGUGAAAUGCGCAGAUAUCAGGAGGAACACUGGUGGCGAAGGCGGGUCUCUGGGCCGUAACUGACGCUGAGGAGCGAAAGCGUGGGUAGCAAACAGG